CGCGUAGGCGGGUGCUCAAGUCCAGGGUGAAAUCCUCCAGCUCAACUGGAGAACUGCCUCGGAUACUGGGUGCCUCGAGGGUGGUAGGGGUAUGCGGAACUAUCGGUGGAGCGGUGAAAUGCGUUGAUAUCGAUAGGAACUCCGGUGGCGAAGGCGGCAUACUGGACCACUUCUGACGCUGAGGCGCGAAAGCCAGGGAGCAAACG
rnacentral:rRNA from 1 species